rnacentral:rRNA from 1 species
GACAAGGUUCCAGACCCUACGGUGUGCAGCAGGCGCGAAACCUCCGCAAUGUACGAAAGUGCGACGGGGGGAUCCCAAGUGUUAUGCUUUUUUGUAUGACUUUUCAUUAGUGUAAAAAGCUUUUAGAAUAAGAGCUGGGCAAGACCGGUGCCAGCCGCCGCGGUAACACCGGCAGCUCGAGUGGUAGCUGUUUUUAUUGGGCCUAAAGCGUUCGUAGCCGGUUUGAUAAGUCUUUGGUAAAAGCUUGUAGCUUAACUAUAAGAAUUGCUGGAGAUACUAUUAGACUUGAAGUCGGGAGAGGUUAGAGGUACUACCGGGGUAGGGGUGAAAUCCUAUAAUCCUGGGAGGACCACCUGUGGCGAAGGCGUCUAACUGGAACGAUCUUGACGGUGAGUAACGAAAGCCAGGGGCGCGAACCGGAUUAGAUACCCGGGUAGUCCUGGCCGUAAACGAUGUGGACUUGGUGUUGGAAUGGCUUUGAGUUGUUCCGGUGCCGAAGGGAAGCUGUUAAGUCCACCGCCUGGGAAGUACGGUCGCAAGACUGAAACUUAA